GACGGGGGGGGCAAGUGUUCUUCGGAAUGACUGGGCGUAAAGGGCACGUAGGCGGUGAAUCGGGUUGAAAGUGAAAGUCGCCAAAAAGUGGCGGAAUGCUCUCGAAACCAAUUCACUUGAGUGAGACAGAGGAGAGUGGAAUUUCGUGUGUAGGGGUGAAAUCCGUAAAUAUACGAAGGAACGCCAAAAGCGAAGGCAGCUCUCUGGGUCACUACAGACGCUGGGGUGCGAAAGCAUGGGGAGCGAACAGG
rnacentral:rRNA from 1 species